rnacentral:rRNA from 1 species
UACGAAGGGGGCUAGCGUUGUUCGGAAUUACUGGGCGUAAAGCGCACGUAGGCGGGUUGUUAAGUCAGGGGUGAAAUCCCGGAGCUCAACUCCGGAACUGCCUUUGAUACUGGCGACCUUGAGUCCGGGAGAGGUGAGUGGAACUGCGAGUGUAGAGGUGAAAUUCGUAGAUAUUCGCAAGAACACCGGUGGCGAAGGCGGGUCUCUGGGCCGAUACUGACGCUGAAGAGCGAAAGCGUGGGGAGCGAACAGG